rnacentral:rRNA from 1 species
UACGAAGGGGGCUAGCGUUGCUCGGAAUCACUGGGCGUAAAGGGUGCGUAGGCGGGUCUUUUAAGUCAGGGGUGAAAUCCUGGAGCUCAACUCCAGAACUGCCUUUGAUACUGAAGAUCUUGAGUUCGGGAGAGGUGGGUGGAAUUCCUAGUGUAGAGGUGAAAUUCGUAGAUAUUAGGAAGAACACCGGUGGCGAAGGCGGCCCACUGGCUCGAUACUGACGCUGAGGUGCGAAAGCGUGGGGAGCAAACAGG